UGGGGAAUAUUGCACAAUGGGCGCAAGCCUGAUGCAGCCAUGCCGCGUGUGUGAAGAAGGCCUUCGGGUUGUAAAGCACUUUCAGCGAGGAGGAAGGUGGUGAGCUUAAUACGCUCAUCAAUUGACGUUACUCGCAGAAGAAGCACCGGCUAACUCCGUGCCAGCAGCCGCGGUAAUACGGGAGGGUGCAAGCGUUAAUCGGAAUUACUGGGCGUAAAGCGCACGCAGGCGGUUUGUUAAGUCAGAUGUGAAAUCCCCGGGCUCAACCUGGGAACUGCAUUUGAAACUGGCAAGCUAGAGUCUCGUAGAGGGGGGUAGAAUUCCAGGUGUAGCGUGAAAUGCGUAGAGAUCUGAGGAAUACCGGUGGCGAAGGCGGCCCCCUGGACGAAGACUGA
rnacentral:rRNA from 1 species